GACGACAGCGCGGAGGUUGUAAGGCUGCGUGAAAAAGUAAGACAAUAGGAGCUACAGCAGUAGUGGUUCCAAGCUCAACUUGCACAACAGAAUGCAAUACUGCAGCAAAUAGCGACCCAACAGAAUAUACAAGUGCCACCACUAGUACCUCCACCUUUUGCACAGGCCGGUUGGCCAUCAGCUUCACCUCAGCCUUUUCACACCCCACCACCUAACUUAGCGGCACCGGGAGACUCACACGUUGAUCCAACAUCGAAUUGGGCGGAUCAAUUCAUUGGAAGUGCCGGAUCAAUUCAACCAGGUGAUGGAGGUGGCCAAACUUAAGUGAAACAUUAUUGUUGUAUGAAUUUGUUCGAUAUGAUACUUGUAUGAAGUUUGUGAACUUUGAUUAUGAACCUGUGAAGUUUAUG